GCUGUGGGGUGAGGAAGAAGCUUCCCCUUGCUCAUGUGUUGUGCAGGGUCCACUCAUAAUAGCUGUCCCUGAGUUCCAUGUGCUCUGGGAACACUGGAUCUACUCCCUCCUGCUCCUCUCCCACCAAAGAAUACAACAGAAGGAGGAUGGGAAUGGGAAGCAAGAUCAUCAGGAAGGCAAAGAAACUCUACUGAGACUAUGGCAGGGGCUAGUCCUAACUAGAAGACAUUCCAGUUAGCAAGAACCGCCAUGAAGUUUUGGGUAUAGGUGCUCACCUAUGGAAAGCUAAUAGUCCCAAAUGAACAAAGAUUCAUGAAUAAAACACAGUACAUGGACUUUUGGAAAAGUCAAGUACCAAGUUACUGCCAAGCACCAUUAGCUCCAGUAACUAUCACUCACCUGACAGGAAAACUAAAGUCGGCUAAAAACUAAACCGGCUGCCUAUACUGAAAUGAGUUAGGGCCUUUAGGGGCUGCAGUUCACCACUGUGGCGAGAGGCUGGGCGAAGGACUGCUGGUUCCCCCGGAAGUGGGGAGACAAUGGAGCUGGGGCACAGCCGGAGGGCCGUGCCCUGAAGAGGACGCCACGGUCCGGAAGUGACACGUGUCCCCACAGACAGCAGAGAUGAUGGAGAAGCAGCGACGGAGAGUGAGACACCCCAAGAGAAGGAUGCCUUGCUGAUGGACAGACUAAUUCCUGGAGCAAACAGCAGGAGGCGCUAUGGUGGUGAGCACAACCUGUUACAAUGACAAACAGCUGUACACUAAAGGUCAGAUUGUGGCCUGAGCUGCGUGGCCAUGAAGCUAUGGGAACAAUAAUCCGCCCCUGGCCUUUACCAAUAAGUUUUGUGGCAACUGGAAUAUGAUGAGGGAGAAAGGAUGGAGGAAAGCCAAGAGUUCCCCCAUCCUUACCCAUAUGCUUAAAGGAUGGUGAAGUAGAAGGUGCACCACACCCCUUUAUUCACUAGGACCCAAGCUCUUAUUCCUCCUUAUGUCCCUUCAUGGACAUGCAACUCAGGCCACAAUCUGGCCUUCAGUGUAUAAUUGUUUGUUACAAACGUGUAAAAAGAAAUAUACAAAGUUCUUGUUCAUUAGCAAUUUCAAUUAUCAGCCAGAUUGCUAAUAACCGUAGGCACGAAGGAGUAAGGGGGAAUAAGGCACCUCCCUACUCUCCUGUGUGAGCUAUCUGUACCACAGAUUGCAUGAUAGGAACAGAAGCGAAGCUUCUCCCUCCUCACUCUGUGAAGGUAGGAGGACAGGGACUGUGUGAAGCUGUCUCCCAACCAACACAACAGCCAAUACAUCUGUGCCAGUACACUGAGUGACAUAUGCUACACCAGGUAUGCACCCAGAACCAUUUACUUCCUCCCCGGACCAUUAAGGAAGCCAGGAGGCAAAAAUAUGGCUCUUUGAAUCCCAAUUUGCUUCCCUGGGCUGGUCCUAGAGCAGUGCAACAAAGCACAGCUCCUUGCCAGAGUAGAAUGUAAAGUGACAAUGUCCCCCUAUGUUUGCAAUUAAUGUUUUGUACAGAAAUUAUAUAUAGGAUAGUCAUCUAAAAAUGCUUGGCCAGAUGUACCUACACCUCUACCCUGAUAUAACGCUGUCCUCGGGAGCCAAACAAUUUUACUGCGUUAUAGGUGAAACGCGUUAUAUCGAACUUGCUUUGAUCUGCCGGAGUGCGCAGCCGCGCCCCCCGGAGUGCUGCUUUACUGCGUUAUAUCCGAAUUCGCAUUAUAUCGGGGUAGAGGUGUAUUUGCAGUUAUUUCUACUCUUGGGUUUAAAAUUUAAAUUGGCUUUUUAUAUUAGAAUUAAAUUUCCAUAACUAAAAUGGCUUCAGAUACAAGAUUAAUUGUUUUCACAAUUGUUAUUAAUAAUGAUCAGCAAAAAAAAGUAAAUGACAGAAUGUUACACAGACAAAGGGUUAGAUGAAGGUCCCACUUAACAUGAGAAAUCCCUUUCAGAGCUAAGCCCCAGAGAUCAGAAGCAGAAACAAUGGUUGAAAUCCUGGCCCCCUGGAAGUCAAUAGCAAAGCUCCCAUAGACGUCAUUAGAGCAAGCAUUUCACCCAAUAUUUAUGAAGAGCUAGCUUUUGCCACCCUGGCUCAAAAGGUCUAAUACCUUACACCACAAGUAGACCUUUAAGCAUUAAUGAGACUACUUGUGAUUGAGGUCAGUGUGAGUAAGGGUUUCGCAAUCUGGCCCAAUAGGAUAGCAGCAUCAGGCAAGAAUCCCAACACAAUUAUUUUGUCAUGAAUUUUAUGAAUGAAAUACAGAUUGGUGUAUUUUUCAGUGAUAUCUCUCUCUCUCUCUCUUCUCCCGCCCCUCAUAAAAUCCUUCCCUGAUGAGUCACUCAAAAAUGGUUUAAGCGGCAGAUUGAUCUCAAUCUACUCAAUUCAAUUCAAAAUGAAAGCUUGUAUUCAUUUUUUUUCUUUUUACUUACCAAACAAAAUACAGUUUACCUUAGAUAAAGCCACCAUCACAAAGUCAUUGUACUGUAUAACUAAGGAAUAUAGCAGCAUCUGUAGACUAUAGAUUUUCUACAAGAAAGUCAUGAUGAUCCAUGUUCUUUUUGCGUAAGUUAGUUACUUUCUAUUUUAGAAGAAUAAAAAUAAUCAUUUAAACUUUAUUAUCAUUUUAAAUGGUUAUAAAAUAAGGUCAUAGCCUUCCAUGAAAUCAUCUCCUACUCACUUCAGUACAGGAUGAUAAUGCUCCUAGUAGGCAAAUUAUUCAAAGCAAGCUAGCAAAGAUAGUUCAAUAAUCAAUCCAGCAGGAUGCAUAGCAUUAAUCUAACAUUGCAGAGUUUGACCUCUCCCAGGUAUAAAUUUAAGGAUCAAAUUUGACCAUCAAACAGUGUCACCUACCUACAUGGUGGCUUAUUCUGUUCCUAAUUUCAGAGUUUAUAUAGCCAGAUACUAAACACAGAAUGACUGUCAAAAUGACCCAGUCACUAUGGGGGAUGGGUACACAAGAAUAAAAUAAGAUCCACAGAAGCAAUUUGCCCUCAAUUCAAACUAAACUCAGAGUACAUUUUCUGAGAUUCAAAAACUUUAGUUAACUCUUUUGUUUUUAAUUAUGUUCACAUGCUUCCGCACUUCUGUUCCUGGAGUCGGAAGUGCCAAAAUGUCAUUUCCUUUUCUGUGAUACCUACAAAAUACUUGACAACAGUUAAGCUCUUGGUGUGCAGAGACCACAGCCUAUCAUGCUAACCAGUAUUAUCUCAUUGUUUACUUGUACUCCCCUAUCAGUGUAUACCCACCUGUUGACUCUUGUCUGGUACCAGGGUUAGGGCAAGGACUGUCCUUUGGUUUUGUGUUUGUACAACCAGUAGUACAAUGGGGUGCUGGUCUAGAACUGGGGCUCCUAGACACCAUGAUAAAUAAAUAAUAAAAACGAGAGACUUCAGAUAGUUUAGAUAAACUUCAAUUAAGUAUGCAUGUUUUUGGGUGCUUAUCGAUGCUGAAUGUCCAAAGUUUUUGAGUUUGCCUAUUACUGCUCACACAAUUCCUUGGCAUUUGAUGGCAUCAGUUACCUGAAAAAUAGAAUUUUCUUGUGGGAUAAAGGAUCGCUCACCUUUAAUAUUGUUUACUCAUGUUUUGUAUUUAAAAUAUCAGAGUUUGAUUAAAAUAUGUUUUCUUCACGAGACAUCUCACACGAACACAUUUCCCUUACAUUGCCUAGAGCAGAGGUGCACAAACUGGAGGGCACACUCCCCGUCCCUCUCUGCGGGGGGGUGCAAAGAAACUGGGAUCCCAUGGGUCCUGCAGGACCUGCUGCCAUAAUAGCGGUAGCAGGAUAAAAACCCGAGUGGGUAUUGCAGGGCGGAGCAGGAAUGGGAUUGAAAAAAUACUCCUCCCACACUGCAAAUAUGAACGCCCUGGCCAGUAGCUGCCACGCUCCAGCUGCCCAACUCUGAAGGCAGCAGCAGCAGAGCAGAGUAAGGUUGGCAAUGCCCCGGCCAGCAGCUGCUGCUCUCUGGCUGCCCAGCUCACAAGUAAGAGAUUACUUCAGAUUACAAGGAACAGGGAGAGGGGGAAGCUUGACAAAUUCUGUAAAUGGCAAGAGGGGCACAACUGGAGAAAAGUUUGUGCAUCACUGGCCUAGAGAAUGAAAACCUCUGAAAUGGCUCAUUAUUUUAUAGUUCAUUUGUAUCAAGUUUGCUUCAGCUGAAAAGAGCCUUUAUUUAUUGGUGGUAGAAAUCAGCUGGCAUGUUUAACUCAACUGCCUAGCUCUUCUUCAGCUCUGUGUAAUCUCACAAGCUUGUAUCUGUAACCAAUAGAAGUUGGUCCAAUAAAAGAUAUUACCUCAACCACCUUCUCUCUCUAAUAUCCUGGGACCAACACAGCUAAAUCACCACUGCAUAUUUGAUCUUGAGCGAGUCAUUAACUCUCUCUGUACCUCAGCUCCUCACAAAUAAAAUGGUUAUAACAUUACCCUACCUCGCGGGGGUGUUGCUAGUAUAAUUUAUUGUGUUUGUGAGAUGCUCGGGUACUAUGGUGACUAAGGGCUCUGUGAAAACCUAGAUAGAAAAUGCUACCCUUCACUGACGUUCCUUCAUGUUAAACAGCAAGAAGAGGGAAAACAUGGAGUAAGGACACUAAGAUUUAGGUCCCAAUCCUGUGUGUUACUCAGUGCCUCCUGUAAGGUAUUUAGAGUCCAAUUAAUUUAGGGAGCUCCACAGGAGGGAUACAGUGUCUUCCAAGAUCAGAUACCCAGUUUAUCUGUCACCUACGUAAAAUAUUUUUAGAGUCCAUCAAAAUAUGAAAUUAAGAAACAGGAAAAUAAGAAAUGAAACUGAGGGACUGCAUCAUUCUCUUCAAAGUGUACCUACUCCUUUAAGAUUUUUAAAACUCUUAAGUGUUAUGCAAGAGAGAGUUUUCUCUACAGUAGUCUACUAAAUGCCUAAGUACUUUAUGAUUAUAGGAGACCAAGCAAAUGGAACUGAGCAAAACAGGGUUUUAAAAGAGAUCUAGUUGAGGGAUAUUCAGAGUUAUAGUUAUCUUCAGAGAUAUUCCAAAUUGUUUUAGAAUGUAGGAUUCUUGAACAGCUUGGCGCUGUAGUACAGAACUUAUUUGCAGUUGUCUGUGGUUCCAUUAAAUAUAAAGUGUUGCCUGCAUAUCAGGAUAAUUUAAAAUGAUGCUUCCCCAAACUGAUAUUUGCUUUAGGGUUUCUGCCAGCAACAGUGGUCACAAAAUAUUCAUAAAGUCAUUGUUCAAAACAGCAUAAGGUUUAUUGUAAAACAGUAGCAAUGAGACAGCCACACUGAGGAACCUAUUUUUAGCUGGGUUGUAGUCUGACAGUUGUUCGCAGGCUCAAUUUGCACCUCAGUUUUUGUUCCUAUAAAAUGAAUUGCAGAUGUAAAUCUGAAUAAUUGCAUUCCCAUCUCUCCAACCUGCACCUGCAGUCAAGAAGACAGAAGCACAGCUACUUGCAGUGGAAUGAUGGUAACAAUCCAUGGUUGCAACAUGCACUUGCAAACAGAGAUGCUUUCCUUCUGAAAAUUUAUUACUAUAUAUCAUACCAAGGAUCAUUUCAGUUAGUUUACAUUUUAUUCCACACACAUCUACACCGGGACACCAAUGCUAGAACUCUGAGGACAUACCUUGAGAUACAUUAAAAUGUCAGUUUUAUGGGUGGCAUAAUGUAAAUAAACAUGAUAUAUUCCAAGAAUGCCUUGGCAAUGGUGAAAUGAUGUAUUUGGUGUUAAAGAUAGAUUUCAAUUAGUGCCAAGCAAAAUGUAACCAAAGUUUAAUUU